AACUAAUGAGCUUGAACAAGCAUGUAUUUUGAAAAUACAUGAAAGAUUAAUAAAUCUAUUAGUUU
rnacentral:tRNA from 1 species